rnacentral:misc_RNA from 1 species
AAAAAAAUUUUAAAAAAUAAAAUAUAAUAUGAAAUUAUAUUCUGGUUGGAUUUGAUGUUUAUCAACAAGAUUUGAUGUUUAUCAACAAACUCAAAAGCUUCAAAUUCUUCCUAUUGAAUUGAAAUUUAAAAGGUUCUUUAAAGCUUUUACAAUAGUUCAGAAGAUGCUCUCACUAACUGAAGCUCCAUCAGAUUUUCAUGAUACAGAGACUUUCUCUUACCAUCAUAUGCAAAUUCUCAUGCAGAAUUCUUUUAACUACAACAUUAUGGAAAAUUGUUCCAAUAAUGUCUCAUUGAACUUACUAAUUAAGACUGGGCCUGUUAAGCAUUUUAUGUUGAAAAAAUACUAGAGGAAAUUGAAGGAAAGAAUUGAUUUGAUUACUUAUUAAAGGAUUGCAAAUUUCCUUUUCCCAAGAUUAAUUCCUUGUUUAUUCAUCUUCAACAAGUUUACAUCUAUUCAAAGUUUGAUCCAAAUGCUAGGUUUCAGCAACUAGGUAUUGACCCAGUAGAUCAUUAGAAGAUAACAUUUUGCAUACCAAAUUCCCAAUACCAAUGAAUUUGGGUUUAAGGCAGCUCCACCACUUUUUUAGAAAAGCUAUAGUUCGAAUCUUUGAGCCUAUACUCCACAGUGCUCUAAUUUACAUUGAUGAUAUCUUAUUGUUUUCAAAAAAGAUAUCUUAGCCCACAAACAACUUCUAAUCAAAUUCUAGGCCUUACAUCGAAAAUAUGGAAUUAUGCAAUCAAAGAAAAAGAGCCAUCUAAGCUAGUCCAAUAUAGAAUUUCUUGGGAUGAAAUUUAAAGAAGUAAAAUAUUAGCUUAGAUUGCAU